AUUGAACGCUGGCGGCAGGCUUAACACAUGCAAGUCGAGCGGGAGAGAGUAGCUUGCUACUUUUUCUAGCGGCGGACGGGUGAGUAAUGCUUAGGAAUCUGCCUAUUAGUGGGGGACAACAUUCCGAAAGGAAUGCUAAUACCGCAUACGUCCUACGGGAGAAAGCAGGGGAUCUUCGGACCUUGCGCUAAUAGAUGAGCCUAAGUCGGAUUAGCUAGUUGGGGGGGUAAAGGCCUACCAAGGCGACGAUCUGUAGCGGGUCUGAGAGGAUGCUCCGCCACCCGGGGACCGAGACCCGGCCCAGGAUCCUACGGGAGGAAGCAGUAGGGCAUUUUGGUCAAUGGCGGAAGAUUGAGCUAGCCAUGCCGCGUGGGUGAAGAAGGCCUUAUGGUUUUAAAGCACUUUAAGAGAGGAGGAGGUUACUUUAGUUAAUACCUAGAGAUAGUGGACGUUACUCGCAGAAUAAGCAUCGGCUAACUCUGUGCCAGCCGCCGCCGUAAAAC
rnacentral:rRNA from 1 species